GGAGGCCCCAAGAGAUGUUAGAGACCUAUGGAGUUAGGCACAAAUGCUGAGAGAUGGUUUCUGCCCUUGGUAGUUUGCAGUGCAAGCCAACAUCGAAAUUAUAAAUGUUUCAUGCUGAGCCGUUAGGUCCAGUGGAACUACUCUUAUAGGUGAGCAGUAUUAGGGUUUUGGAAGGCAAGUGCAAGGCAGCUCGAGGGGCAACAGCAGGAAUUUGAGGUGGUGGGAAAAAUGAGGCAGCAGCUGCAGGAAGAGUGUUACGAGAAGGGAACGGUCCUGAGGACAAGGCCAGGGCACAGCGACAAGGCUUAACAGUGAAAUAGGUGGGGAGCGAGCAUACGGUGCAGUACUCGGUGCCGUGAGGGGCCCAUGGCAGAACUUGGGAGAGAAGGAGGAAAAACACUCAGAAACCAGAGGGUAGAGGCUUGCAUUCUGCUAAAUUUGUUUUCAGCAGCAGCCAGCUAUUUUGGACCUUCCCCUUCCGUUUUGCUUCCUAGAACGUUUACAAGCCUGUGGACAACCCGUGGUAGCGCUCACGUGCUGUGACACUGCAGUACCUCCUGCUGCCUUUCGGUUACGGCAGAAACAUCCGACCUUCAGCGGCAGAGCUUCUCCAGCGUUGUCUAACAGAGCGUCGAACUCCUUUCUGGGUUAAAAGGUUUGUCUGGACUCCAGCUGUACAGCCACCCUGCCAGGCCCAGUGCAGCAGGAACACCACAGCAAGUCUGCAGAGAGGCUUGUUCUCUUCCAGCCUCAGCGGAGCUGCGUUUCCGCGACGCCUGUGAAACACGAGCCCUCCUCUGAAGAGCCGAGAAGGAUCGCUGAUGGAGCGGGCUGUGCCUUUCCAAGCAGACCUCUUCCGUCUUCGCCUUUGCCCUCUUGCUGUCUCCAGAGCUGCGUGCAUGGAGGGAGAGAAGGAGACUCUGAGCAGUUUGGGGUUAGAGAGAUGCCCAGCGGUGGCCCUUCAGUCCAUCGCUGAGCUCCAUCGUCGUGGUGCAGCGUCCAUCGCAGGAGGCAGGGCUGGAGACCCGGGAGCAGCAGCGUGGCUCUGAAGCUCGUCCCAGGAGACCAGGGCUGAAGUGAGACACGUCUUCAGUGCAGCACGGGUGAGAAGUGUGGCCCCAGGCCUGAGGUUCAAGAGGGCUCCUGGAGCAAGGGGCGGAGAGGGGGUGCGGUGGCCCCAGGCGAGGCUGGUCCGAGCCAUGCAGGUGUCCUGGUGUCCUCCAAGUGCUGACGCUGAGCUGGAGAGGAAGACUGUUUGGAGUGGUGGCUAUGGAGAGAGUUGUGAAGAGCUGUCAAACACAGGAGCAGAGAGAGAGAGAAGCCGAUGGCAGGAGCCUAUUUUGGGGCCGAGCCGGUGGAGAGCUGUGUGAACCGCCGGCAGUUGCUGCCGUCUUCAGGGACGGGCACCGUGUCACAGGAGAAACUAAGGCCUGUGCCAGACGAGGCGCUGGUGUUACUGAUCUAUUUUACAGAAGCAUAAAUGAAAUGUUUCCCCAGGAAGGCUGCACGCUGCCAUCACACUGCUGCUGCUGUUUUGGGAAGCUGCUUCCAAACCCAGACAGGGUGAAGGCUGGAGAAGAGCAGCUCUGCCCGAAGCACCCCGGAGGAGCCUUCCCUGAGCACCACGGUCCCGCAGCCCGAGAAAAAGGCACAGAGGAAGCAGGACGAUUGUGCCUCCCUCAAUCCCGCCUGCCUGCACCCGCCGGGCUCUGGGCCCCCUCGGUGACCCAGCCGGGAGCUCAGCGCGGGCUCCUCCAGGCCCAGCUCCUUCCAGCCACCCUGGGCACUGACAGGGCCGUAAAUCAAUCACUGUCACAACUUGCACAUUCAUGCCAGCGUUUAUUAUUGCAAACACAUGGAGCAAUUAGUUUAUUAACAGUGUGAAUGUGUGGAAUAAACCUUGAGUCUUGCACAAGCACUGAAUAAACACUGGAACCGGCA